AUACGUAGGGUGCGAGCGUUGUCCGGAAUUACUGGGCGUAAAGAGCUCGUAGGUGGUUUGUCGCGUCGUCUGUGAAAUUCCGGGGCUUAACUCCGGGCGUGCAGGCGAUACGGGCAUAACUUGAGUACUGCAGCGGAGACUGGAAUUCCUGGUGUAGCGGUGAAAUGCGCAGAUAUCAGGAGGAACACCGGUGGCGAAGGCGGGUCUCUGGGCAGUAACUGACGCUGAGGAGCGAAAGCAUGGGUAGCGAACAGGAUUAGAUACCCUGGUAGUCCAUGCCGUAAACGGUGGGCGCUAGGUGUAGGGGUCUUCCACGACUUCUGUGCCGUAGCUAACGCAUUAAGCGCCCCGCCUGGGGAGUACGGCCGCAAGGCUAAAACUCAAAGGAAUUGACGGGG
rnacentral:rRNA from 1 species